AACAAACGCUGGCGGCGUGCCUAAUACAUGCAAGUCGAACGGGGAAAGUAGCAAUACGAGUACUAGUGGCGCACGGGUGAGGAAUACAUGGGUAAUCUGCCCUCGAGCUCGGGAUAACCAGUCGAAAGACUGGCUAAUACCGGAUAUGACCACAAGAUCUGAGGAUCAAGGGGUAAAGGUUUUUCGCUUGAGGAUGAGCCCAUGUGGGAUUAGCUAGUUGGUGUAGGUAACGGCUCACCAAGGCGACGAUCCCUAACUGGUCUUAGAGGAUGAUCAGUCACACUGGAACUGAGACACGGCCCAGACUCCUACGGGAGGCAGCAGUGGGGGAAUAUUGCGCAAUGGGCGAAAGCCUGACGCAGCGACGCCGCGUGGGUGAUGAAGGCCUGGUCGUAAGCCCUGUCGCAGGGAAGAAUAAGCAUCGGUAUAAUACGCCGGUGCCCUGACGGUACCCU
rnacentral:rRNA from 1 species